GAACGAGAUCUUAACCUGCUAAUUAGCGGCGAAUACGUUAUAUUCCUACUUGAAAUUGAAUAUAGCUGAAUUUGCUUAUUUUGAAGAAUAUAUUAGGAUACAUUAUAGUGUCCUUUUCCCUUUUCUACUUAAUUCGCUAUUCAUGCUGUUUCUUUUUUGUGUAGGAAUGUAUUCGUUUGAUUGUAAAGCUUCUUAGAGGAACGAUGUGUGUCUAACACAAGGAAGUUUAAGGCAACAACAGGUCUGUGAUGUCCUUAGAUGAACUAGGCUGCACGCGUGCUACACUGAUAUGUAUAACGAGUUACUAAAAAUAUACUUUUGUUUGAGUAUUUAUACUCUCUCAAAUAGUAUACUUUUCCUCCGCCGAAAGGUGUAGGUAAUCUUUAUCAGUA
rnacentral:rRNA from 1 species